UUGGCCAGGCACGUUCAUAAAUGUCACGGUCCGCCUGCGCAGGGCACGUGACUAUCGGGCCCACAUGAGGGGGAAACACGAGGCUCCUCUGCCAGAUGUUGGCCGGUUCCGGGGCUUCACGCAAGCGUCCUUCACCCCUCACCGAUUUUGCUUCUCCCCAAAAACGCAUCUGCAGGAUUUGGAAGCACCCGCCUCAUAUACCCAGGCUCUGAAACGAGCCUCAUGAUCAUGCUUCAAAUAUCAUUUUCAUAAAGUAUGCAUAUGAAACCGUGCCCCCGGCAUGCCGUGGUCCAUACUCUCGGAUGCUACUGCGAAGUCAGUCUCGGCCACUGGCGGAGCCAGCUCAGUUAUUAUUCAGCCACUGGCGGGGUAGGCUCAGUUACUAUUCAGCCACUGGCGGGGCAGGCUCAGUUACUAUUCAGCCACUGGCGGAGCAGGCUCAGUCAUUCUCAGUAGCAUCUUUGAGCCCAUUAUAGUGCCUCUUGGCUAGAUAGUAUUUCGUUAUACUAACUUACAUGCAUGAUUAAAAUAUCAGCAUCAUCAUGUUGCAUACAUAGCCAUAGCUUCUGGGAUCAUGCAAGUUACUUAUGCAUUGUAACAUAUUAUGCAUGAAACAUAUAUACUUAAAAAAAUGCUGAGGAAACAUUAAUAACAUGACAUGAUCCAUAACAGGAUUAGAACAGGUUACUUACUUUCUUCACAAAUCAUGUAUACAAUUCAAAUUGUAUGAAAAAUACUGGUUCAUCUUAUAAAACGUAAUACAAGAUCUACGAUAAGAUUAAGACAGAUU
rnacentral:lncRNA from 1 species